rnacentral:rRNA from 1 species
AACCGAAGAACCUUACCUGGCCUUGACAUCCUAGAAACUUUCCAGAGAUGGAUUGGUGCCUUCGGGAAUUUAGAUACAGGUGCUGCAUGGCUGUCGUCAGCUCGUGUUGUGAAAUGUUGGGUUAAGUCCCGCAACGAGCGCAACCCUUUUCCUUUUUUGCCAGCGGUUAGGCCGGGAACUUUAAGGAUACUGCCAGUGACAAACUGGAGGAAGGCGGGGAUGACGUCAAGUCAUCAUGGCCCUUACGACCAGGGCUACACACGUGCUACAAUGGUCGGUACAAAGGGAAGCUACCCAGCGAGAGCAAGCUAAUCUCAAAAAGCCGAUCGUAGUCCGGAUUGGAGUCUGCAACUCGACUCCAUGAAGUCGGAAUCGCUAGUAAU